GGCCAGGGAAAACCUCACAGAAAGCUUGGGUUCCGGGUGCAGAAUGGGGGAGCUUGGCAUAUGGUUAACAGGACAGAGGACAGAGAAGGGACAGAGAGGAGAACAGUGAUGGCGUGGAGGAGCUGGGAAGACUCAGAACCGGAGGAUGAUGUUUGUGGAGGAAGAAGAUCUCAGAGGGAGGUUUACUUGCAGCAGGACUUUGCAUGAGGACAAAGAUGGACCAAGCUCACCUCCCUCAAGCUCAGAGACUGCAAAUGGACCUAACGCCUUACCUGCUGCCACCCAGGCCCAUCCUGGCAGAGUGGAGACCACCGGCAGGCAACAGAUUGGGAACCUCAACUGCAACAUCAACGGUUCCCAAAGCCUUCUGGGACACAGCGUCCUGUGAUCGUGCACCCACUUCUCUGUGAUGGUCUGUAGAUCAGUGCUUUCAGCUCCCAUCAUGCCUCACCAGGGCGAUGACUCCAUAUUUGCUCUCCCUCAGUGCCUUUGACAUUUCCAUGUAUUUGGUGGCAGACUGCACGUCAGACUGCUGCUCACACCAGCUGCCUGCUGGUUCACAUCGGUGGUUAAUGUUUUCGCCAAUGCUAUGUAUAGUUACUCCAUGGGCAUUCAGAAGAAAAAUAAGGCACCAUGCUUAGGCUCUACCCCUAAAGUCAAAAUUGUUGAUUUAAUGAAUGACAAUUUUAAAGUGUUUCCUUUGUGGUAGCAUCAAUGUGCCACUAUGUUACAAUCCUGAGACCUUGCACAAACCUUAUCAGGCAUGCCAAGGAUGCCUCUCAUAUAUGAGGAUCAGAAGCAAAACUUACACUUGAUUGUCAGGUCUCUUCUGUGUGAACACACACACACACACACACACACACACACACAGAGUAUAAAUUCUCUGUGACUCUCUCUUACACACAUGCACACAUACACAUACAUGCACACACACACACACAGAGUAUAAAUUCUCUGUGACUCUCUCUUACACGCAUGCACACAUACACAGACAUGCAUACACACACACACACACAUAUGUAAUAUAAAUCGUUCUCUUAAAAGCACACACACACAUAUAUAAUAUGAAUUCUCUCUCUUAUACAACUACACACACACAUAUAUAAUAUAAACUCUGUGUUUCCUAUAUCACAUAUACAUAUAUAAUAUAAAUUCUCUCUUACACACAUGUAUACAUGGACAAGCACAUACAUAUAUGUAACAUAAAUCUCUCUCUUACAUACAUAUAUAAUAUGUAUAUUCUCACUCUGUGUCUCUCUCUUAUAAGACACACACACAUACACACACACAUACACACACAUGUAACCUUACUAAACUGGGGCGUUAUUUCAGUCAUGGUUAAUUUGAUUCUUUUUGUUUCAUUUAUAUGUAAUGUAGCAUUAUUUUUUUUUGAAACCUAGACCCUGCCCUGUCAAUGCUCCUGACUCUGUUCAUCUGCCUCACUCCCCAGAACAUUUUAGUCAUAGCAAUUUAGUUAGAGCUGCCAAGUGGGAAAAAAAUCCACUUUCUGAUGUUAAAUGUGCAGUUCUAAAACCUAACAUACUCAGUCACAUUCUAGAUGUCCCCAGGUCUACACUGGCUACAGAAACUAAAGCAAGGUACACCAUCACCCAAGGAGACUCUGAGGACAUCAGAGGACAGAUGUGUCACAAAAGCUAGUAUAGGAGCCAAAAAAACCUGAAGUUACAUGAGGAUUGUCUCUCAAAAAAGCCAAAGCGCACUGAAGGGAUAGGACACGCAUCAGGUCUGAUAAUGCAAUCUGUCACAGGGCCAUGUUCCAGCCCUCUGUGGUGUCCUGGUGGGCCACGAGGAGCCUUGAUGAUGACAUGAUGGAACACCCACCCACAGUGGGUGGAGGGCAUUAUGAACCAGAACUCUGAGAGAUUCAACUCCUGGCACUAAAUACCUCAUCAGUGCUGCAUGCGGGACCAAGAGGAGGCAGCCCAGUGUGAUGCCCUGUCUGCAAGCAAGCUGGUUGCUUUCUAGGCCAGAAGCUA
rnacentral:lncRNA from 1 species